rnacentral:lncRNA from 1 species
CUUUCUGUAUAAAACUGAAUUCAUGUGCUCUUCUGAUUGGUAGAUAAUGUUUGUAAUAAAUAUUUUUUGGUAGAUGGAUCAAAACUAGAGUUGAAAAAAAUAAAAAAUAAAUGCUGAAUGUACUAUUUUUUUCCUACAGGGUUGAAAAGUAAUGGGGGUCAGUAUAGGAAUUCAGUGCGAAUCUACAUUGUUUGUAAACAAGGCCAUGUGAAUGCUCAAAAAUACCGCAUGGCC